rnacentral:rRNA from 1 species
UACGAAGGGGGCUAGCGUUGUUCGGAAUUACUGGGCGUAAAGGGCGCGUAGGCGGUGUGUCAAGUCAGGCGUGAAAGCCCCGGGCUCAACCUGGGAACCGCGCUUGAGACUGGCACGCUCGAGUUCGGGAGAGGAUGGUGGAAUUCCCAGUGUAGAGGUGAAAUUCGUAGAUAUUGGGAAGAACACCGAUGGCGAAGGCAGCCAUCUGGACCGACACUGACGCUGAGGCGCGAAAGCGUGGGGAGCAAACAGGAUUAGAACCUCGAGUC